rnacentral:tRNA from 1 species
GCGCAGGUCAGCCAACGGCAGGCUGUCCGCUUUCCGGCGGAACAUGGCGGUUCGAUUCCGACCCCUGCGCUCCA